UACGAAGGGGGCUAGCGUUGUUCGGAAUUACUGGGCGUAAAGGGCCGCGUAGGCGGUGUGUCAAGUCAGGCGUGAAAGCCCCGGGCUCAACCUGGGAACCGCGCUUGAGACUGGCACGCUCGAGUUCGGGAGAGGAGAGUGGAAUUCCCAGUGUAGAGGUGAAAUUCGUAGAUAUUGGGAAGAACACCGGUGGCGAAGGCGGCUCUCUGGACCAGCACUGACACUGAGGCACGAAAGCGUGGGGAGCAAACAGG
rnacentral:rRNA from 1 species